rnacentral:rRNA from 1 species
AGAGUUUGAUCCUGGCUCAGGAUGAACGCUAGCGACAGGCCUAACACAUGCAAGUCGAGGGGCAGCGAAGAGGUAGCAAUACCUUUGUCGGCGACCGGCGCACGGGUGAGUAACACGUAUGCAAUCCACCUGUAACAGGGGGAUAACCCGGAGAAAUCCGGACUAAUACCCCAUAAUAUGGGCUCUCCGCAUGGAGGGCUCAUUAAAGAGAGCAAUUUUGGUUACAGACGAGCAUGCGCUCCAUUAGCCAGUUGGCGGGGUAACGGCCCACCAAAGCGACGAUGGAUAGGGGUUCUGAGAGGAAGGUCCCCCACAUUGGAACUGAGACACGGUCCAAACUCCUACGGGAGGCAGCAGUGAGGAAUAUUGGUCAAUGGUCGGCAGACUGAACCAGCCAAGUCGCGUGAGGGAAGACGGCCCUACGGGUUGUAAACCUCUUUUGUCGGAGAGUAAAGUACGCUACGUGUAGCGUAUUGCAAGUAUCCGAAGAAAAAGCAUCGGCUAACUCCGUGCCAGCAGCCGCGGUAAUACGGAGGAUGCGAGCGUUAUCCGGAUUUAUUGGGUUUAAAGGGUGCGUAGGCGGCACGCCAAGUCAGCGGUGAAAUUUCCGGGCUCAACCCGGACUGUGCCGUUGAAACUGGCGAGCUAGAGUGCACAAGAGGCAGGCGGAAUGCGUGGUGUAGCGGUGAAAUGCAUAGAUAUCACGCAGAACCCCGAUUGCGAAGGCAGCCUGCUAGGGUGCGACAGACGCUGAGGCACGAAAGCGUGGGUAUCGAACAGGAUUAGAUACCCUGGUAGUCCACGCAGUAAACGAUGAAUACUAACUGUUUGCGAUACAAUGUAAGCGGUACAGCGAAAGCGUUAAGUAUUCCACCUGGGGAGUACGCCGGCAACGGUGAAACUCAAAGGAAUUGACGGGGGCCCGCACAAGCGGAGGAACAUGUGGUUUAA